AAACAGACSAAUUAASGCUUAACGAGCGAGACCUGGGCGUGCUAGCUAGGCGCGACUACCCUUGUGGUAGUGAGGCUUGCCUUCCUAGACGGACUGCGGGCGUCUAGUCCGCGGAAGCUCCAGGCAACAGGUCUGUG
rnacentral:rRNA from 1 species